CGGGUAGUCGCCGCCGAUCCGUUACCGAAGAUUCUGUGUCGCGCGGAUUGCUCGCGAGUUGUCACAUUGGAAGCAGCGGAGAUCGAGAGGAGGUAGCAAGACACGUGUUUUUAUGGGAGGAUUAAUGGUGGAACAGCUGCAGAACAGUCUGAAACCCAUUUUUAGGAUUGUCGUAUAUCAUUUGUGCUAAAUAAAAGUGGUAAUAAAAAAAACAAAAA